rnacentral:tRNA from 1 species
UCCCUCGUAGCUCAGUCGGUAAAGAAUCUGCCUGCAAUGCAGGAGACCUGGGUUUGAUUCCUGGGUGGGGAA